rnacentral:rRNA from 1 species
UACAGAGGUCUCAAGCGUUGUUCGGAUUCAUUGGGCGUAAAGGGUGCGUAGGCGGCGCGGUAAAGUCGGGUGUGAAAUCUCGGAGCUUAACUCCGAAACUGCAUUCGAUACUGCCGUGCUUGAGGACUGGAGAGGAGACUGGAAUUUACGGUGUAGCGGUGAAAUGCGUAGAUAUUCGCAAGAACACCAGUGGCGAAGGCGGCUCACUGGCCCGGUACUGACACUCAAGUGCGAAAGCGUGGGGAGCGAAACAGG